GUGUGUGUGUGUGUGUAUGAUUUAAGUUUAAUUCUUUACCGCACAGCAAUCUUUUGUCUUAUUCAUUAUUUCAAUCCUUAGGUUAAAUUCCUAGGUAUACUAGCAAGCAAUAGACAGACAAGAUAGAUAGAUGAAGUAAAAGAUGAAGGUAGUAGAAGUUGAAGGUAAUGAUAUGAGAUCACCUGAAGAUACUAGGACCGAUACGAUACACAAAGCGUAGCGUCACGCUGUACAUCGUCGAUGGGGAGGUGCGUGUGCCGCCACGUUGUCAAAAUAAACGGCACUAUCGCGAUUUAUCUCGUUUCCCAUGAUAAUAAGAGAUAAAACUGCAUCCUUACAUUAGCUAGUAUAUCAGCUAAAAUGAUAAUUUCAGUCGUCGGAUUCGCCAGAAGCGCGUAGGGCCGCUCCUAUUCUCCUCCGCCGUGCCAGUCGAUGGGUAAAUCCCCGAGUAAAUCUUUUGUGAAUCCCCGAGGGAUUUAUGGGAACAUGGACCGGUUAUUUUCGUAGAGCUCCUUGACGAGGGAUCGGUUUACCUUACCAGGUACACCUAUCACACUUAUCAUUUUGCCGGAGGGAGGGGAACAAAGUUUGAAGGCGGAGGGUUGUAGUCAUGGUUACAGAGCAUACAUUGGAGUACUGCUGAUAAGAGGAUCAGCAGUUGAAUAUUAAAGCUUAUGGAUUACGCCAUUGCAAGACAAUGCAUACGUGGCUACAAAGAUUAGCCAACACAGUGCAUUAUCACCGAAAAUACACAAGGAUGAACCUUCUUUCGGUCGUUCAUUGACUUCUCUCAUCAACUGGAUGUUACAGACAGACGGUGUUAAAUGUAUGUAUGUAAUAGAUAAUCUAUUUUGAUAAAAAUAUGUUGUCUUUUAACUAACACAAUAAAUGGAAUUCUAAGAAAA
rnacentral:lncRNA from 1 species